CUGGAGUUGGCCCCGCGCAGGGACCACGGAUAGGUGAGGCAGUUCGUCAGGGAAACCGGACCCGCCUCAGCCGGGAGCAGGUGGGAAGACAGAGGACCACUCUGACUUGAACCAGAAGGCACAGGGCAUGAUGGGGCUGGUGCGGCGGACACAGCUCUGCUCUUCCGAGACUUGAACCUGGGCACCUCCUCAUGGCUCAACUCUUUCCGGGAGCUGGGAAGGCACAGGUCUCACAGGAGCUCAAUGCUCAUGGCAGCCCAGCCAGAAGGACCGAGAGGGUAGAGGAUUUGUCUUCCUCGCCUACAGUUGGCAACUUGGAUGAGAUAAAACUUCACUGGCUGGACCUUGCUCGCUCCUGGACUACCGUGGCUGAAAGAUCUGGGACCCCUGACAAGAGUCAGCAGGAGAUAUGCAGAAAGUACACCGGAGCUAUCAGAGCUACCCCGGCCAGGACUCCGACCACGAUGCUGUCAAUGACCCCAGCUGAGAGGCCAGCAGAAUUUCCUGGUGUUGGUGUUGGUGUUGGUGGUGGU